UAUGUUUCUGACAACUCUAUUGCUGCAUUUCAUUUAUCAGAUUGGGAAUGAGCACGUCAAAAAUCUCGGCACUAGGAUUUGUAAUAUAGAACAUUCUUUGCCACCUUUCGCAACAAAUUUUGAGAGGCUCUUUUGAACCUUGAAGGAGAUUAUCUUCAGAAAUUUGACAUAGUAUCUCUUCCAAAUUGUUGUAUUAUGCAUCAUAGAGUUACUUUCUGUUCUUUUCAUGAAUUAUUCU
rnacentral:lncRNA from 1 species